rnacentral:rRNA from 1 species
GUGCCAGCCGCCGCGGUAAUACGAAGGGUGCAAGCGUUAUUCGGAAUUAUUGGGCGUAAAGGGUGCGUAGGCGGCAUAUUAAGUCAACUGUUAAAAACCUCGGCCUAACUGAGGAUCGGCGGUAGAUACUGAUAUGCUAGAGGAUGGGAAAGAGAAGUGGAAUUCUUGGAGUAGCGGUGGAAUGCGUAGAUCUCAAGAGGAACACCAAUGGCGAAGGCAGCUUCUUGGCCCAUUUCUGACGCUAAUGCACGAAAGCGUGGGGAGCAAACAGGAUUAGAUACCCUGGUAGUCCACGCUGUAAACGAUGAUCACUAGAUGUUAGUUUUGCUUUGCAAAAUUAGUGUCGUAGCUAACGCGUUAAGUGAUCCGCCUGGGGAGUACGGUCGCAAGAUUAAAACUCAAAGGAAUUGACGGGGGUCCGCACAAGCGGUGGAACAUGUGGUUUAAUUCGACACUACGCGAGGAACCUUACCUAGGUUUGACAUGUAUAUGAUCGCUGCAGAGAUGUAGCUUCUUAAGGGUAACUUUAAGCAUAUACACAGGUGCUGCAUGGCUGUCGUCAGCUCGUGUCGUGAGAUGUUGGGUUAAGUCCUAUAACGAGCGCAACCCUUGCUGUCAGUUGCUAUUUCGUGAGAAAGCACUCUGAUGGGACUGCCUGGGAAACCAGGAGGAAGGUGGGGAUGAUGUCAAGUCAGCAUGGCCCUUAUGCCUAGGGCUACACACGUGUUACAAUGGCUAAUACAAAGGGCUGCAAACUCGUAAGAGGGAGCUAAUCCCAUAAAGUUAGUCUAAGUUCGGAUUGAGGUCUGCAACUCGACCUCAUGAAGUUGAAAUCGCUAGUAAUCGCAUAUAAGUAUGGUGCGGUGAAUACGUUCUCGGACCUUGUACACACCGCCCGUCAAGCCAUGAAAGCUGUUUGCACCCGAAAUCAUCUUAGCUAACUUGAAAAAGAGGCGGAUGCUGAAGGUGUGGAUAGUGAUUGGGGCUAAGUCGUAACAAGGUAACC